rnacentral:lncRNA from 10 species
GCUAGAACAGUGGUUUGGAGAUUGAUAGUAUUCUUGCAGAUAGGAAGGGCAAAAGCUCACGCUGGAAUGCCUGGACUGGAAAAUUCACAUGAAGCUUUUUGCAAAACUUUUUAGAUACAUGAACUUUUAGAAAAACAUAUGUCAUUUUUCUGAUUGCAAAUGUAGACUGAUUGUGCAUAUAUACCCAUAAAUUUUGCUAAUGGUGUGGGGAUCAUUUCAGUCCAGUCCUAUAGUUUGCUGGAUUAUAAUUCAAUGUCUGCUUUGUGUUUGUUGGGACAUUUUUAUUGGCUGCGCAAAUUUCGACAAGUCACCUAGUAGCUAUGACUGUGAUUGCAGUUUACUUGAGAAUAGACUGGGGAUGAUGACCCCGGCAUCCCGCAGAAACACCUUAAGGAUUUAACGUUUUACCUGCAUCUACAUUAAAACGCACAGUAUCUCUCAGAUAUGUAUGUGUAUGAUCGCCAGAUGGGAGCUAUCCGUAUCUUUCUGAAACAGUCACUGGCGCUGUUGCUGUAAUGAAAAGCACUUGAAGAAGAAAAAAAGAAACCUGAAUAACAGAUGCGUUUGCAUUAUUUCAAAGACCCAUCUGGCAUGAAAGGUCUUGGCAAAAGGCAGCCUCUGUAUGUUGACUUCAUUCUUCUCUUUUUGCAACUGGCUUCUGUUACUGGUCCACACGGCAGAAGUCAAGGCCACCCAGAGCUUCAAACAUGCUUCUCUAAGAAUAAUCAGAAAAACCAAGCCCCGGGAAUCCACUCUGUGCAAGCCCAAGGACACUCAAGCCUCCAAGUGCCUGGUGAGUUUCCCAGCGCACCCUGCUCACUGCUGAGACGUCGACGUCGGAAAACCGCCGCCUGGACCCCUGCUUGUUGUGUGAGGCUGCUUUGCGCACACCCUCCUGUCAUGCCUCAGGUGAAUUCAGCCUCACGUCCUUGAGGGGAGAGGACCCACUUCCACAGGCGUUAGAAUGACUCUGAGACAGACGCGGCUUCGUCCUUGUAUUUGUCCUAUGCCUAUCUGAGCUGUGGCAAGUUCCUACUCUUCUUCCCCGCCCUGACCCUCCCCACCCCGCCCAAAACAUUUUGAACUCAUUUCUCAAGGCAUAUAUUUUGUUUUGCUUUGUUCGUUUCUCAAUUUUUAUUUCAGUUCAGGGGGCACGUAUGCAGGUUUGUUGCAUGGUAAAUUGCCUGUCACUAGGGUUUUGUAGACAAAUGAUUUUGUCACCCAGGUAGUGAGCAUAGUAACGGACAGGUAGUUUUUUGACCCUCACCGUCCUCCCACCCUCCACCCGUAAGCAGCCCCGCUGUCUGUUGUUGCUCUCUUUGUGUCCAAGUGUACUCAAUGUUUAGCUCCCACUUAGAAGUGACAACACCCAGCAUUUGCCUUUGCGUUCCUGCAUUAACUGGCUUAGCCUAGAUUAAUGACCUCGUGCUGCAUCCACGUUGCCGUAAAGGACAUAAUUUCAUUUUUUUUUAUUGCUGCAUAGUAUUACCUGGUAUACUUGUACCACAUUUUCUGUAUCUAGGCCAC